GACCCUUGGUACAGUGACAUAUUACCUUUAUUGCCAUGAAGCUGAGCUGCAUUGUUUCAAGACCAGGUGACUGACAACAGCCUACUUCACGGAUUCUCACUAGCUCAAGGCCUGUCUGUCCCACGCCAGGCUGCUGCUGCUCUCACCACCCAUUCUUCUGAACAGCCUCUCUAACCCCACCUGAUCCUGGAGUCCUCUUAGUGCUGGGAAACCUCCUGUGACCCCGGAUCCAUGUGUAGCAGCUGCCCACGAGCCUCUCCAGGAGCUGUCUGCCCCACCACUGGCACCCAUCCCACUGCAUUCAUCCAUCCCCCUCCCUCCUGGCGCCAGGCCUAGCCCAGAGCUGAUAGUGGUCAUGUGUGUUGGCUAAAGGCUGGCUGCGCUCUACAAAACCACUGGAUGCUGUCUUUCACCAUGGGAGGGCAGAAAAGGCCUUGACCACCUUCUUUUUGCACACUUUCAGUGACAAGGAAGCCAUCACCUCCUGGGGAAAUCCUGGUCCAGCCAUCCAGGGAGAACUGAGUGGAUCUCUUGUGUGGUCCCAACCUCCACCCCAGCUGGGCCAGCUCGGUCUGUGGGAAGUGAUGGCACUGUUCCGUCAAGUACUCACGCUCAGGACGGAGCCACUAACAAAUGCCUCCCCUCCCUGGGAGAGCCACACUGUCCUCUCUGGUUACAUUCCUCUGGAUAGCCCUAGGAUUUGAGACUCCAUGCUCCAGCUACUCAGGACAUACACGGUUCCCUCAGGCCAGAAGCCCCCUUCGAUUAUUCCCUUAAAUACCUUCCCCUCAGCCACAGAGCCACCUCCUCAGAAAAGCCAGGUGCGAGUUCCCAGUAUGGAGGAGCUGUGCUGGACGGGCCCUGGCUCCAAUGGAAGGGACCCCUCUCUUGCCACAACACGGUGGAAUGACCCAGAAAGGAAGAAGUGGAGGAGGCAGAAUGGAGGACAAGAGCAGAUGGGGAGACAGGAGUGAAAUGGCAGAGAUGCCGUGAGAGGGAAGAGACUGCUGGAGGGCGAGAGGGUCGCGGCUCCUGAUGAGGCCCGGAAACCCUGCCACAUAAAGGUCAGCGGUGACCUUGGUCAGCACCCUGUGGUGCUGAUGGGAAGACUCUGGAAGGGGAAGGCGGCUGUACAGACAAGUGAGUACAGCCACACAGAAGUGGGACAGAACCAACGGCAACGCGAGGCGGGAAGAAUAACCAGCCCCUGCUCUACACCACCGACCUUACUGCCUUUGGCUCAGCAGGUACACACACUCCUGUGUCCUCACCCCAGGCCAUCU